AAUAGCGGGAUCCACCUGUAAAUUCCCAUCUUCUUCCAUCAUCUAUCCCCUCUUUACUCUAUCCCUUUCUCUGCAACCGCACAUCCUGUCUGCUUGCUUGCCGUCUCCCACCUCCCACCGCCGAUCCCUUUCUUGGCGCUCCCCUUCUCCUCUGCAUCCUCCGCUGCGCGUGCCACCACCCAUGUCUGGCGGCGCUCGACCUCCACUCCUCACGGCCGUGGCCGACUCUCCAGCCUUCCACCCCGACCACCGCUUAACGUCCCUGCUCGCCGCCCGCCUGGCCGCCUUGUGGAGUCCCGUCGUCUCCCCUCACUCCGGUGCCUCUACCCUACUCGAGCUCAUCCUCUCCCGCCCCUGCCUUUGCACCGACGACUCCAUCUUUAACCGCACGCAUGCCGGUAGUGCUUGGAGGAGGAGCGGCACCGCUCAUCCCUCGCACGCCCGCCAUGACCAACGAGCAACGAGUGGUCGAGUGCGGAGGUGGUGUCAAUGAGGUCAGGCGGUGCGCGGGACGCACGCACGCCGUUUCUGCUGGGAGAAACGCCGCCGCUCGUCCCUCGCGCGCCUGCCGUGACCGAGGAAUUCCUCGGCGAGGUGGCACAGCUUCACUUACAUAGAGCUUGUCCCGGACUCUGCUAGCGUCGCCAGCACACAGGUGUGUGAAGAUUAUAGGUACCCCAUACCCACACGACAUGGUUAUCCAACUAGUUAUAGGGGAUAACUUAUAUCUAUGGAAUAUGUACGGAUCAUGACUUGAGUAUUACGUUUCCUUGUAUAUUAUAGAACGGCAUAAAGUCUUAGUUUGAUAAUAUUGUAAAGUAGAUUUAGUAAACCGAUACCGUAUUGAUUAAGGUUUCUAUCUUGUAAUCUUGCCCCCCAUCCUAUAUAAGGCGGGUAGGAAGCCCUCUAGGAUAGAGGAUUCACAACCUGAUCGUCAGAUUAAUACUGCACCUGACGGAUUCAAGCCCCCAAACAGGCCAGUAGGGUAUGAACUCUUAUCGAGAGGGUUUGAACCUAUCUAAAAUUCGAUUUUGCUAUAGAUUUGUCGUGUGAUUUUUUCUCUCA